UAGAUAGGAAGCCAGCUGUAAACAGCACACUGGGCACCCCCCUCUGUUCCCUUGUCCUGUAAACAGCACACUGGGCACCCCCCUCUGUUCCUUUAUUCUGUUUUAAAGAUUCUUACGUGCUUGACUAAUCCUGUAUACAUGGAGGAAUGUGCCUUACUACGCCCCUGCUGCAAACCAUUAUAGAUCUAUAUCGCUCUAGAAGUUCCUUUGCUCCCCCAGGUCCCCGACUCUCUGAGGUCGACAAGUGGCGCCCAAACAGGGACCUGAAGCCCCCGUCGAGGAGUGAUCGGCCAGCGAUAGAACCCUACAGAAGGUGAUGGAUCCAGUCGAGCAAUUUGGAUACCUCUUCGAAAAGUCCGGCCCAGGACCAGCGAUAAAGACAACAGAAGAGGUGUCUCAGCCGCUGCAGGGAUUGACUACCCAACCCCCUGUCCGAGAGAUGGCAACACUCUCCUUGAAAGAGACCUCGAAAAUGAAAAUUGUCCCCGACAAUACCCCCAACUUGGGGGCAACUGAAGACCCUCACUCAGAGGGCGGAGCGAGUCCUGGAGACGACCAGAUCUACCAAAACCCCUGAACAUUUGUUCCUGGCUAUGUUAGCGGUGGGGACAUGCGCCUCUCCGCAGUACGGAUUCCAUCCUUCUUCUCCAGGCCCGUAUGGGGGUCUGGAUUCUGGAUACUGUACCCUCAAAAGACAAAUCAAUGCCCCAAAUCUCCAUCACAGAGUGCUUACGACAGCAGCUAAUUUGAAAAAAGAAAGGGGGACCUGUGGGAAACAGAACACCACAACAACCACCGGUGCGUGUUCAGACUCCGAGAUCUCUGAGAAAACUCGAGAGUGCAGGCUUAAAAAUAACCUGAAAGGAUCAGAGUGAAAUGCCCUUGGGACGUGUGUGGUCAGUUCCAAAGUACGCAGCAGAAGAUGUUUUGUAGAUAGGAAGCCAGCUGUAAACAGCACACUGGGCACCCCCCUCUGUUCCCUUGUCCUGAAAACAGCACACUGGGCACCCCCCUCUGUUCCUUUAUUCUGUUUUAAAAGAUUCUUACGUGCUUGACUAAUCCUGUAUACAUGGAGGAAUGUGCCUUACUACGCCCCUGCUGCAAACCAUUAUAGAUCUAUAUCGCUCUAGAAGGUAUGUAAGAGUAUGGAAAAUAAACCUCGGCACCUCGGGCUGUUUGCUUGGGGUCCCCUGUGCCUCACUCUACUGUCGUUUCUUUUUCUCAGUUCCUUUGCUGCCCCAGGUCCCCGACUCUCUGAGGUGGCCACCAUUUUAUGAAUCUGGCAUUCUCAA